AGAUUAAGUUAUUAAGGGCGCACGGUGGGAUGCCUUGGCACUAGAAGCCGAUGAAGGACGUUACUAACGACGAUAUGCUUUGGGUAGCUGUAAGUAAGCGUUGAUCCAGAGAUUUCCGAAUGGGGGAACCCAGCAUGAGUUAUGUCAUGUUAUCGACAUGUGAAUUCAUAG
rnacentral:rRNA from 1 species